CCUACGGGAGGCUGCAGUGGGGAAUAUUGGACAAUGGGGGCAACCCUGACCCAGCCAUGCCGCGUGUGUGAAGAAGGCCCUCGGGUUGUAAAGCACUUUCAGUGAGGAAGAACGCCUGGUGGUUAAUACCCAUCAGGAAAGACAUCACUCACAGAAGAAGCACCGGCUAACUCCGUGCCAGCAGCCGCGGUAAUACGGAGGGUGCGAGCGUUAAUCGGAAUUACUGGGCGUAAAGCGCGCGUAGGUGGCUUGAUAAGCCGGUUGUGAAAGCCCCGGGCUCAACCUGGGAACGGCAUCCGGAACUGUCAAGCUAGAGUGCAGGAGAGGAAGGUAGAAUUCCCGGUGUAGCGGUGAAAUGCGUAGAGAUCGGGAGGAAUACCAGUGGCGAAGGCGGCCUUCUGGACUGACACUGACACUGAGGUGCGAAAGCGUGGGUAGCAAACAGGAUUAGAUACCCGGGUAGUC
rnacentral:rRNA from 1 species